rnacentral:rRNA from 1 species
UACGUAGGGUGCGAGCGUUGUCCGGAAUUACUGGGCGUAAAGAGCUCGUAGGUGGUUUGUCGCGUUGUUCGUGAAAACUCACAGCUCAACUGUGGGCGUGCGGGCGAUACGGGCAGACUGGAGUACUGCAGGGGAGACUGGAAUUCCUGGUGUAGCGGUGGAAUGCGCAGAUAUCUGGAGGAACACCGGUGGCGAAGGCGGCAUCCUGGACCGACACUGACGCUGAGGAGCGAAAGCCAGGGGAGCAAACGGG